UACGGGGGGGGCAAGCGUUGUUCGGAAUUACUGGGCGUAAAGGGCUCGUAGGCGGCCAACUAAGUCAGACGUGAAAUCCCCAGGCUCAACCUGGGAACUGCGUCUGAUACUGGAUGGCUUGAAUCCGGGGGAGGGAUGUAGAAUUCCAGGUGUAGCGGUGAAAUGCGUAGAUAUCUGGAGGAAUACCGGUGGCGAAGGCGGCAUCCUGGACCGGCAUUGACGCUGAGGAGCGAAAGCCAGGGGAGCAAACGGG
rnacentral:rRNA from 1 species